GCCAAGGUCCCGUGCGAUUUCGGGCCGUGAACCCUGUCAGGUCCGGAAGGAAGCAGCAGUAAGCGGUUUACGAAGUGCGCCGCGGGUCAAGCCUUACCGAC
rnacentral:SRP_RNA from 1 species